rnacentral:rRNA from 1 species
AACGAACGUUAGCGGCGCGCCUAACACAUGCAAGUCGCACGAGAAAGGGCUUCGGCCCCGGUAAAGUGGCGCACGGGUGAGUAACACGUGGGUAACCUUCCCUCGAGCGGGGAAUAACAUUCCGAAAGGAGUGCUAAUACCGCAUAAGACCACGGCUUCGAAAGGAGCUGAGGUAAAAGCUGGCCUCUUCAUGAAAGCUAGCACUCGAGGAUGGGCCCGCGGCCCAUCAGCUUGUUGGUAGGGUAACGGCCUACCAAGGAUAAGACGGGUAACUGGGCUGAGAGGAGAAUCAGUCACACUGGAACUGAGACACGGUCCAGACUCCUACGGGAGGCAGCAGUGGGGAAUCUUGCGCAAUGGACGAAAGUCUGACGCAGCGACGCCGCGUGGGUGAUGAAGGCCUUCGGGUUGUAAAGCCCUGUGGGGAGAGACGAAUAAGUCUUGGCUAAUAUCCAAGAUGAUGACGGUAUCUCCUUAGCAAGCACCGGCUAACUCUGUGCCAGCAGCCGCUGUAAUAC